AUUCCAUGUUGGGGGCAACGAACCAACAACUUCUUGAAUCUCUCCCAUUAGGUAUAUAAAGCUUCUCAUCUUCCUUGUUUGAUCCCAAGGAUUUCUCUUUUGAGACU